rnacentral:rRNA from 1 species
UACUGGGGGGGUAAGCGUUGUUCGGAAUUACUGGGCGUAAAGGGCUCGUAGGCGGCCAACUAAGUCAGACGUGAAAUCCCUCAGCUUAACUGGGGAACUGCGUCUGAUACUGGAUGGCUUGGAUUCGGGAGAGGAAUGCGGAAUUCCAGGUGUAGCGGUGAAAUUCGUAGAUAUUCGGAAGAACACCAGUGGCGAAGGCGGCUCACUGGCCCGUUACCGACGCUCAGGCGCGACAGCGUGGGGAGCAAACAGG